GUCUACGGCCAUACCCACUGAAUGUGCCCGAUCUCGUCUGAUCUUGGAAUCUAAGCAGGGCCAGGCCUGCUGACUACUUGGAUGGGAAAAUACCAAAAAGCCCCAACCAGUUGCCGUGCACC
rnacentral:rRNA from 1 species